rnacentral:rRNA from 1 species
UACGGGGGGUGCGAGCGUUGUCCGGAAUCACUGGGCGUAAAGGGCGCGUAGGCGGCUCGUGAAGUCAGUGGUGAAAGCCCGAGGCUCAACUUCGGGUCGGCCACUGAUACUGCUAGGCUUGAGUCGACUAGAGGCAGAUGGAAUUCCGGGUGUAGCGGUGGAAUGCGUAGAGAUCCGGAAGAACACCGGUGGCGAAGGCGGUCUGCUGGGGUCGAACUGACGCUGAGGCGCGACAGCGUGGGGAGCAAACAGG